rnacentral:sRNA from 1 species
CACUAGCGCGAAAGGAGGUGAUCCGAUGUCUCAUGGUUCAGCAGAGAGGUCGGCAAGUUUCCGCGCGGAGCACUAUCGGUAAGACGGUACCCCUAGAGGCUUCGUGAGCGGCACUUCCUGGCCGCUGACCAUGAAAGGGCGUUUCCAUCCGCCACGGCACAAGGGGCGGGCUGGAAGCGCCCU